CCUCAGAUGGAGGCAGUCUUGCUGAGAACGGGCAGCCUUUGCUUUAAUGCAGCGUAAAAACACAGCAGCUGAGUGCCACGAUUUUACUGAGAUGAUGAAGGCACUGGGUUAUCCUCGACUCAUUUCUAUGGAGAAUUUUCGCACCCCAAACUUCAUGCUAGUUUCCGAGGUGCUUCUCUGGCUAGUGAAAAGGUAUGAACCUCAGACUGAUAUUCCUCCUGAUGUGGAGACAGAGCAGGACCGUGUCUUUUUCAUUAAGGCUGUAGCUCAGUUUAUGGCUACCAAAGCGCACAUCAAGCUAAACACGAAGAAGCUUUACCAGGCAGAUGGCUAUGCAGUGAAAGAACUGUUAAAGAUCACCUCUGUGCUUUACAGUGCCAUGAAUACUAAAGGAAUAGAGCGCACGGAAGUGAGUGAGGAAGACAGCAGCAAGUUCAAGUUUGAUCUUGGCUCAAGAGUUGCUGAUCUGAAGGCAGCUAGACAGCUUGCUUCUGAAAUCACCUCCAAAGGAGCAAGUUUGUAUGACUUACUUGGCAAAGAAGUUGAACUAAGGGAAGCAAGAACAGAAUCUAUUGCCAGACCUUUGGAAAUAAAUGAGGCUGAAAAGAUGAUGAAAAUUGCCAUUGAUGAUAUUCUGGAACAAGUCCAAAAGACUAAGGACAUGUUGAAUAACGUGGCUUUGGAUGAAGCUAAUUUGGAAGCCAGGAUUGAAAAACGAAAACUGGAACUGGAAAUAAGCCAGAAGAGGCUACAGACCCUGCAAAGUGUUCGUCCUGCUUUUAUGGAUGAGUAUGAGAAGAUUGAGGAGGAACUGCAAAAACAAUACAGCAGCUACCUAGAAAAAUUCCAUAAUCUGUCCUAUAUGGAGCAGCUCCUAGAUGAUCAUCGUAGAACAGAGCAAGAGAUGUUUGAGGAAGCAGCCAACAUGCUUCAUCUUAUGCAGAAUAGGCUGAAGGAAGAGGAGCAGAACCUACUUAAGAGUGGAAAUAAUGAUGACUCUGACGUAGAGAUUCAGGAUGAUGAAGAAUCUGAUAGCGAAGGGGAAGAGAGGCAGAUAAUGAAGCAGCGCACAGCCGCGGAGACCAAAGUGCAAGGAAGAUCUGGCAAACGGAUCGUGGGAACAAUGCAUGGUGGAGACACAGAGGAAGACGGGGGAUCUGCCCCGACCCAGCCAGGCACAUGCAAGAGCAAGGCACAGGAGGACUCAGAGGACAGUGAAAUUGACCUGGAUGAUGAUGAUGAUGAUGAAGAUGUGGAAGAUGACAGCGUGGAAAUCUCCCCUAGCAAAUCCAAUCGCCGAGCAAGGAAGCCAGAGCCACUAGUGGAAAGUGAUAAUGACUUCUGACGCUUCAGUAGCAGGACCAGGAGACAUCUUGAAAUGCAAACUUUGGACAGUGUGCAGGAGCAGAAAUCAGUGUUUGAUUAGAAGAGUUCACUUCAGUGAACGUUCAUCAAGGCAGACGAGCCCAGGCUGUUCUCCUGCCCGUCCCUUUUUCUACAUCA